GGGUUGUGAGGUUAAGCGACUAAGCGUACACGGUGGAUGCCCUGGCAGUCAGAGGCGAUGAAGGACGUGCUAAUCUGCGAAAAGCGUCGGUAAGGUGAUAUGAACCGUUACAACCGGCGAUGUCCGAAUGGGGAAACCCAGUGCAAUUCGUUGCACUAUCGUUAACUGAAUACAUAGGUUAACGAGGCGA
rnacentral:rRNA from 1 species